GCUUAAGGAGGGGCUUGCGACACAUUANUUAGUUGGUAGGGUAAAGGCCUACCAAGACUAUGAUGUGUAGCUGGACUGAGAGGUUGAACAGCCACAUUGGGACUGAGACACGGCCCAAACUCCUACGGGAGGCAGCAGUAGGGAAUUUUCGGCAAUGGAGGAAACUCUGACCGAGCAACGCCGCGUGAACGAUGAAGUACUUCGGUAUGUAAAGUUCUUUUAUUAAGGAAGAAAAAAGAGUGGAAAAACUCCCUUGACGGUACUUAAUGAAUAAGCCCCGGCUAAUUAUGUGCCAGCAGCCGCGGUAAUACAUAAGGGGCGAGCGUUAUCCGGAAUUAUUGGGCGUAAAGGGUGCGUAGGCGGUUUAAUAAGUCUAUAGUUUAAUUUCAGUGCUUAACGCUGUUGUGCUAUAGAAACUGUUUUACUAGAGUGAGAUAGAGGCAAGCGGAAUUCCAUGUGUAGCGGUAAAAUGCGUAAAUAUAUGGAGGAACACCAGAGGCGUAGGCGGCUUGCUGGGUCUUUACUGACGCUGAGGCACGAAAGCGUGGGGAGCAAACAGGAUUAGAUACCCUGGUAGUCCACGCCGUAAACGAUGAGUACUAAGUGUCGGGUAAAACUGGUACUGAAGUUAACACAUUAAGUACUCCGCCUGAGNAGUACGUACGCAAGUAUGAAACUUAAAGGAAUUGACGGGACUCCGCACAAGCGGUGGAUCAUGUUGUUUAAUUCGAAGAUACACGAAAAACCUUACCAGGUCUUGACAUUUUCUUGCGAAGUUAUAGAAAUAUAAUGGAGGUCAUCANGAAAACAGGUGGUGCAUGGUUGUCGUCAGCUCGUGUCGUGAGAUGUUAGGUUAAGUCCUAAAACGAGCGCAACCCUUGUCGUUAGUUGCCAGCAUGUAAUGAUGGGGACUUUAACGAGACUGCCAAUGAAAA
rnacentral:rRNA from 1 species